AAAUUCUGAAAAUUCAAUGAUCCUUGGAAGAAUUAGGAUUUGAAAUAACUAUUAAUAUUUUUUUUGUUUUCUAUAUUUAUAACAACAGUUUUACAUUGCUAUAUGUAUCACAUAAACAGAACAUCGAAAUCACAAAAGCAGUGAGAAUCCUCCAUGGCAUCAUAGUACCUCAGCUGAUGCUUUAUCGAAUCUAGAACAAACCAUCGUUGCUUCCAGCCCUUCAAGAGAGCACCCCGUUUAUACAAGUAGCCUUCAUGCGUUCGAUUUUC